AAUACUUAUACCAACAAGUUAGUCAAAAAAAAUUUGUUAACAAUGAAACUCUAUGUUUUUAUCCUUUUCUUUGUGUCUCUCUUGAUUAGCUCGUCUGGACGUAUGACAACAGUGAAGCCGGUUGAACUAACAUGCGACCCAAACAACCUUCCAAUAGUUCGAAUUAUGUUUUGCGAAAAUAGUGAUUGCCAAGCAAAAUGUCUUCAGAAUUUUGGCGCUAGUGGAACAAAAAAUGCUGCUUGUUUUGGCAGAGACACUUGUGUCUGUUGUAAUGACAAUUAGAUAGAUUAAUUAAUUGCAUGAUCAUGCAUUGAGAAAUUUCACUGAAUAAACGUUAAUAUUUUGUGUUAUUACCAGACUAAUACAUGGCAACUAUUAUAGAA